CUACUUACCUGGCAAGGGAGAUACCAGGAUCACAAAGGUGGUUUUCCCAGGACGAGCUUCAUCCAUUGCACGCAAGAUGUGCUGACUCCUGUGAUUUCUCCAAAAGUGGGAAACUCGAUGGCAUAAUUUGUGGUAGUGGGAUUGUGUUUGAGCCUUCCCCU
rnacentral:snRNA from 1 species